rnacentral:rRNA from 1 species
GACGGAGGAUGCAAGUGUUAUCCGGAAUCACUGGGCGUAAAGCGUCUGUAGGUGGUUCGAAAAGUCCACUGUUAAAAAUUGAGGCUUAACUUCAAAGAUGCCGUGGAAACUUUCAAACUAGAGUAUGGUAGGGGUAGAGGGAAUUUCCAGUGGAGCGGUGAAAUGCGUAGAUAUUGGAAAGACCACCGAUGGCGAAGGCACUCUACUGGGCCAUUACUGACACUGAAUCGCGAAAGCUAGGGGAGCAAACGGG